AGGGGAUGGUAGCACACAUCUGUGACCCCAGCUACCAAAGGGGUUAAGGCUAGUAGAUCUCUUGUGCUCAGGAGUUCUGAGUUGCAUCUGGCUAAGCCAAAUGGGAGUCUAUUCUAAGUCUGGCAUUAAUAUGGUGACUCUCCAUGAGAGGGGCCACUAGGUUGCCUAAGGAGAAGCAAACCAGCCCAGGUCAGAAACCGAACAGGUCAAAGCUUCCGUGUCUACAGAGAAAGGCUGGACUUGAGAGCAGCCCUAGCACUUUCAGCCUGGGCAAGACAGGGAGAACUAGUCUUU
rnacentral:SRP_RNA from 1 species